CUCUCUCUCUCUCUCUCUCUCUCUGGAUGUAUGUGGGGAAGUUGCCAAGUGAUCAACAGUGAGGGUGCACCAUAAGAAGCUGAAGCUGCCAGCAUGAUCUGAUGACUCUAUCUUCUGAAUCUUGGAUGAGGAUAUGCAGAUCAUGUUGCAGCUCCAUCUACUGGUGGGAGCACCAGAAGAAAACAGAAAAGUCUAUCCUAAUUCCUUUCUCUCUUUAACCUAACAACCAUGGUUUCAUGAGAAACCUAACAUGAACAAAAGGGCUGCUGAUUUUGACCUAACUUAGCAGUGUUUUGACUUGUUAUCCUUUCCUUGGAAGUUGCAUGUGAGCCAAGGAGUCCAGCCAGUGGUGUUUGUGGUGUCCACACAGCUAUUAAAGUCCAAUUCUGGUGGAGGACACAUAGUGAGCUGUUCUGAUUCAUGCAGUGUUUGUCUCAUGCAGCUUGGGUCUUGUUUCCAUGUAGUCCAGAGCCUGUGAGUGAAACCUUGCUUAAGCUUAGCACCAAAAUGGAGUGGCCAAAUCCACAGACUGCAAAAGUCUCUUCCCAUGGAAAAGGGAUGAUGAAAAGGAGACAUGACUGCAAAGGGUAAAAGGAGUUGAUACAACUGAGGAAAGUGACCACUUUUGGAGUAUAAAUCCUAUUGAAAGGUGAAAGGGAUAUCUCUUUUCUUUGCUGAUGUUUCAGACAGUGGUACUUUGGUUUCUCAAACUUUGUGGAACCAUUGAUGGAAUCCAGAACAUAUUUAUAAGCUAGCCUCUAAUUAACCUGCUAACCUGUGUUUGCAUUUAAGAUGUUUCUGUAAGACAUACAGAUCAUAUUCAGUUUGAAGUAUAGAAAUUCAUUGACAAAAGUUGUGUAAA